rnacentral:SRP_RNA from 1 species
GCCGGGUGUGGUGGUGCACACCUGUAAUCCCAGCUACUUGGGAGGCUGAAGCAGGAGAAUCACUUGAACCCAGGCAGAGUUUGCAGUGAGUCGAGAUCAUGCCACUGCACUCUAGCCUGGGUAAAAGAGUGAGACUCCGUCUCAA